CUCUGUUUAAUAUUGUGGAUGAUGUUCUGUUAGGUCAGGGCCCCUCUGUUAGGUCAGGGCCCCUCGUCUUCUGUUUAAUAUUGUGGAUGAUGUUCUGUUAGGUCAGGGCUCCUCGUCUUCUGUUUAAUAUUGUGGAUGAUGUUCUGUUAGGUCAGGGCUCCUCGUCUUCUGUUUAAUAUUGUGGAUGAUGUUCUGUUAGGUCAGGGCUCCUCGUCUUCUGUUUAAUAUUGUGGAUGAUGUUCUGUUAGGUCAGGGCUCCUCGUCUUCUGUUUAAUAUUGUGGAUGAUGUUCUGUUAGGUCAG